rnacentral:rRNA from 1 species
UACGUAGGGCGCAAGCGUUGUCCGGAAUUAUUGGGCGUAAAGAGCUCGUAGGCGGUCUGUCGCGUCUGCUGUGAAAACUCAGGGCUUAACCCUGAGCUUGCAGUGGAUACGGGCAGACUAGAGUGCGGUAGGGGAGACUGGAAUUCCUGGUGUAGCGGUGAAAUGCGCAGAUAUCAGGAGGAACACCGGUGGCGAAGGCGGGUCUCUGGGCCGUAACUGACGCUGAGGCGCGAAAGCGUGGGUAGCAAACAGG